GGUCUCAUGGUGUAAUGGUUAGCACUCUGGACUUUGAAUCCAGCGAUCCGAGUUCGAAUCUCGGUGAGGCCU
rnacentral:tRNA from 2 species